rnacentral:rRNA from 1 species
CCAGACAGCCAGGAUGUUGGCUUAGAAGCAGCCAUCAUUUAAAGAAAGCGUAAUAGCUCACUGGUCGAGUCGGCCUGCGCGGAAGAUGUAACGGGGCUAAACCAUGCACCGAAGCUGCGGCAGCGACACUAUGUGUUGUUGGGUAGGGGAGCGUUCUGUAAGCCUGCGAAGGUGUACUGUGAGGUAUGCUGGAGGUAUCAGAAGUGCGAAUGCUGACAUAAGUAACGAUAAAGCGGGUGAAAAGCCCGCUCGCCGGAAGAC